rnacentral:rRNA from 1 species
AUGCACCUUGUCAACCCCAUCACAUGUGAACAGAUCGCUCUUCCGUCGGUGAUCACCAUCGAGCAGGUGAAGCCCAUCUUUGAUGAGCACGGUGCUGUCCAUAAGUAUGAGUACUCAUGCCAUACUGGGACGGAUGCCGGUCCUUACUCUCCGUCUAUCUUUGCUAUUGACAAGCUGCGCCACAAACUUCACUAUAAGGCGUUUGUGUUCCCUGAUACAUCCACGGGAAGCUACAUCGUCGUGCUCAUCCAUAAUCCAAAGCGUCAGCUCUCUUUUGCAAGAGUAGGUGAUGAUAACUGGACUUGGCUGCCACCUCAUGAACGAUAUAGUGACUGCAAUUACAAGGAUGGCCUGUUGUAUGAGGUGACUACAACCGGAGAACUACAUGCUUUUGAUUUUAGUGGGCCUGUCAUCACAACGGAGAUGAUUGUAAGAAUGGACUCUAUAUAUGGCUUUGGGUACACGUACGUUGUUCAAGCUUCAUCGGGCGAUCUGCUUCUUAUUUGGAGAAAUAUUGACCAGUACAAUUUCGAUCCUCAUCCUGGAUCAUCUGUAUUUUGGAUAUAUAUGGCUUUGGAUAUAUAA